CAGUAGCCGCGGUAAUACGUAGGUGGCAAGCGUUGUCCGGAAUUAUUGGGCGUAAAGGGCUCGCAGGCGGUUUCUUAAGUCUGAUGUGAAAGCCCCCGGCUCAACCGGGGAGGGUCAUUGGAAACUGGGAAACUUGAGUGCAGAGGAGGAGAGUGGAAUUCCACGUGUAGCGGUGAAAUGCGUAGAGAUGUGGAGGAACACCAGUGGCGAAGGCGACUCUCUGGUCUGUAACUGACGCUGAGGAGCGAAAGCGUGGGGAGCGAACAGGAUUAGAUACCCCAGUAGUCCCUGUCUCUUAUAA
rnacentral:rRNA from 1 species